rnacentral:lncRNA from 1 species
UGAAUAUAAGGUAAUUACAAAAUGAUCAUAACCUUCUUUAUGUAGUAGAGGAAUCCUAUAUAUGGUACAAUUCUAAUUACGAAAGUAAAUCCCAUGAUUGGCAUAAUUAACCGCCCUUGAUUUGAUUUGUUCCGAGAUUUUCUCCGUGAUCUUCAACUGGUUACGAAUAUCUCCUCUUUCCGUUAUUGCGCUUCGUUCGAAAUCAUAUUUGAUCUCGAUCGUUAUUGGCCUCGACCUCGUGAGCUUCUCGAUUCUCAAGUCUGAUACCUUAUCUUUAUGCCUUGGCCUAAUCCAUUACGAGGCGGACCCUCGACGUGAUUCUCUGGUCUCGAUUAAAUAGCAAAAUCGGAUAAGCCCUAUUUUAACCGUACACAAAUAUCCAUCUAUUCGGAUUUAAUUUCUUCAUUUGUACGAUUAAAGGACGGUAAAACUAAAUAAAAAAGAAGAAGAAAGUUAAACUAUUUUGAAAAUUCUUUUUUGAGCAAUCAAAUGUUACCAUAGUGAAACACUACUUUAAAUUGAAUUCCCCACGCUAGCACAAAGAGUGGAAAAACAAGAAGAAAUACAAUAUCACGCUCUUAGACUGUUACUAAAAAUUGCAAAUAUUUGCUAGAAAUCAUCGAGGCUAAUAUCAUACACAUUUUGAAAAAAGACAAACAAAUAUGCAAACUUUUGAAAAGUUGCUAGUUUGGAGAGACGCAAGAAAUAUAGAGUUUUUGCUCUUGACAGAUUUAAGCAUUGUUAAAGAUUUUAGUUUUCCUAUCAAGUAUUUCGAAGUGUACCCAAAGAAAAACAAAGAGAG